rnacentral:rRNA from 1 species
AUUGAACGCUGGCGGCAGGCCUAACACAUGCAAGUCGAGCGAGCGGCGGACGGGUGAGUAAUGGAUGGGGAUCUGCCCGAUAGAGGGGGCUAACUACUGGGAACGGUGACUAAUACCGCGUACUGUAGGGUGAACCCAUGUGGGAUUAGCUAGUGGGUGAGGUAAUUGCUUACCAAGGCGACGAUCCCUAGCUGGUCUGAGAGGACGAUCAGUCACACUGGAACUGAGACACGGCCCAGACUCCUACGGGAGGCAGAAGUGGGGAAUAUUGGACAAUGGGCGCAAGCCUGAUGCAGCCAUGCCGCGUGUAUGAAGAAGGCCCUCGGGUUGUAAAGUACUUUAAGUCGGGAGGCGUUACCGACAGAAGAAGCACCGGCUAACUCCGUGCCAGCAGCCGCGGUAAUAC